rnacentral:rRNA from 1 species
ACUCCGAAACUGCAUUCGAUACUGCCGUGCUUGAGGACUGGAGAGGAGACUGGAAUUUACGGUGUAGCGGUGAAAUGCGUAGAUAUCGUAAGGAAGACCAGUGGCGAAGGCGGGUCUCUGGACAGUUCCUGACGCUGAGGCACGAAGGCCAGGGGAGCAAACGGGAUUAGAUACCCCGGUAGUCCUGGCAGUAAACGGUGCACGUUUGGUGCGGGAGGAUUCGACCCCUUCUGCGCCGGAGCUAACGCGUUAAACGUGCCGCCUGGGGAGUACGGUCGCAAGGUUAAAACUCAAAGAAAUUGACGGGGGCCCGCACAAGCGGUGGAGUAUGUGGCUCAAUUCGAUGCAGCGCGAAGAACCUUACCUGGCCUUGACAUGCAUCUCUAAGUUGGUGAAAGCCAGCGAGUCCCGAAAGGGACAAUUUGCACAGGUGCUG